rnacentral:rRNA from 1 species
AGUUGGUUUGACCUUAAGCCGGUGAGCGAACCGCAAGGACGCAGCCGACCACGGUCGGGUCAGCGACUGGGGUGAAGUCGUAACAAGGUAGCCGUAGGGGAACCUGCGG